UUUCUGUCUGCCUCUCAUUGGCAAACAUGACAUUUCAGCAAUUUCUCUAAAGAGGAAUGACUGGGGGGUAUGUACAGCAGGCAUCAUGUAAGAAAAACUCACACCUCACGACAUAUUUGUUUGAUUUAUUCAGCAGACUUCAGCAAAGGAAAGAUGUGAAAGCAACCCUUGAUUGUUGAUUUUUUGUUCAUUCUGAAAAUCACAUCGCCAGAUCCAACACCUUUUUAUCCCAAUCACCAGUACAAGCCACCCGUAUCAGUGUACACUGUGGCUGACCGAUCCAUAGUGAUGCUUUGAGCACAAGGAAGGACUUUCUGGAAUCUACUUAUCUGACCAAGAAAGCUUCUUUCCAAAAGAAAUGCAAUUGUCUUGAGACUUCUUCCCUAGGGAUCUGAUCAACUAACCAGAAAAGAGCAACCACCAGAGAAGAGACUUGCCAUUGUCUAUUGUACGUGACUUAACCCUAAGCUACCUCUGCUGCUACUAUCAGUGGAUGUAGCCUUCAAGUGUUAUUCAUGGGAUUUGUGGAGCUACUGAACAAUAGAAAAAUCUGUUGUCAACUCUGAUUACAAGAAUGUAAUGAUUCUUCCUAAAAUAAAAGGAGAAAUCUUUCUCUUUAGCAACAUGGGAGAAGAUGAAAACAAAAAUACAGCUACUGUUCUGAACAAAGAGAAGAAAAGCCAUUUCAAGGGUUAACAAGUAAAGUUUUUAUUCAGCAAGCAAUUUCAGAGCAGAUGGGUUGGGAGAGGAUAAAGGAAGAAAGCAAAGUCUUUGUAGAAACCAUUUGGUUAAGACUUAGUUCUUGAAACAAACUGAACAAUAGCAGGGACUCAACAGUAAGUCUUCUAACAGGAUGAAAUGAGGCUCCAUCACAGACAGCAUACGUUUGUAUACUGGAGUGCACCAGGAGAAGCAGAACUUGGAAGAUAUGGUUUCUCACAGCUUCCUUAACUCAGAGGGUGAUUUCAAUAAUUCUCAAAAAGUUCUUGCUGGCUGGGUGCAGUGGCUCACACCUGUAAUCCCAGCACUU
rnacentral:lncRNA from 1 species